rnacentral:rRNA from 1 species
GACGAACGCUGGCGGCGUGCUUAACACAUGCAAGUCGAACGGAAAGGCCCUGCUUUUGUGGGGUGCUCGAGUGGCGAACGGGUGAGUAACACGUGAGUAACCUGCCCUUGACUUUGGGAUAACUUCAGGAAACUGGGGCUAAUACCGGAUAGGAGCUCCUGCUGCAUGGUGGGGGUUGGAAAGUUUCGGCGGUUGGGGAUGGACUCGCGGCUUAUCAGCUUGUUGGUGGGGUAGUGGCUUACCAAGGCGUUGACGGGUAGCCGGCCUGAGAGGGUGACCGGCCACAUUGGGACUGAGAUACGGCCCAGACUCCUACGGGAGGCAGCAGUGGGGAAUAUUGCACAAUGGGCGGAAGCCGGAUGCAGCGACGCCGCGUGCGGGAGGACGGCCUUCGGGUUGUAAACCGCUUUCGCCUGUGACGAAGCGUGAGGGACGGGAAUGGGUAAAGAAGCACCGGCUAACUACGU